rnacentral:rRNA from 1 species
UACGAAGGGGGCAAGCGGUGUUCGGAGUUACUGGGCGUAAAGGGCGCGUAGGCGGAUUCGUAAGUCAGAGGUGAAAGCCCUGGGUUCAACCCGGGAAAUGCCUUUGGAACUGCGAGUCUUGAGUGCGGGAGAGGAUGGCGGAAUACCCAGUGUAGAGGUGAAAUUCGUAGAUAUUGGGUGGAACACCGGUGGCGAAGGCGGCCAUCUGGCCCGUAACUGACGCUGAGGCGCGAAAGCGUGGGGAGCAUACAGG